rnacentral:rRNA from 1 species
AGCAGCCGCGGUAAUUCCAGCUCCAAUAGCGUAUAUUAAAGUUGUUGCAGUUAAAAAGCUCGUAGUUGAAUUUCGGGGUUAGUAGGCUGGUCGUGCCACUGGUAUGUACUGGUCUCACUGAUUCCUCCUUCCUGAUGAGCUGUAAUGCCAUUAAUUUGGUGUUGCAGGGAAUCUGGACUGUUACUUUGAAAAAAUUAGAGUGUUUAAAGCAGGCUAACGCUUGAAUACAUUAGCAUGGAAUAAUGAAAUAGGACGAUCGAUCCUAUUUUGUUGGUUUCUAGGAUUGACGUAAUGAUUAAUAGGGAUAGUUGGGGGCAUUAGUAUUCAAUUGUCAGAGGUGAAAUUCUUGGAUUUAUUGAAGACUAACUACUGCGAAAGCAUUUGCCAAGGAUGUUUUCAUUAAUCAAGAACGAAAGUUAGGGGAUCGAAGACGAUCAGAUACCGUCGUAGUCUUAACCAUAAACUAUGCCGACUAGGGAUCGGAUGAUGUUAAUUUUUAAUUGACUCU